rnacentral:rRNA from 1 species
UACGUAGGGUGCAAGCGUUAUUCGGAAUUACUGGGCGUAAAGCGUGCGCAGGCGGUUGUGCAAGACAGAUGUGAAAUCCCCGGGCUCAACCUGGGAACUGCAUUUGUGACUGCAUGGCUGGAGUGCGGCAGAGGGGGAUGGAAUUCCGCGUGUAGCAGUGAAAUGCGUAGAUAUGCGGAGGAACACCGAUGGCGAAGGCAAUCCCCUGGGCCUGCACUGACGCUCAUGCACGAAAGCGUGGGGAGCAAACAGG